rnacentral:lncRNA from 1 species
CUGCACCCUUAGCAAAUGAAAGUUCCCAGGCGAGGGGUUGCACUGGAGCUGCAGCUGCCGGCCCAUGCCACACCCAUAGCAAUGCCAGAUCCUAUGUCAGGGCUUAUGGAAAUGCUGGAUCCUUAACCCACAGAGGAGGCCAGGGAUCAAACCCGAAUCCUCAUGGAUACUGGUCAGGUUCUUAACCCACUGAACCACAACGGGAACUCCCUAUCCCGUACAUUUCUGAGUUCACCAAGGAAUAUUCAAUUCAUUCUUUUUUUUCUGGCCACACCCAUGGCUCGCGGAAGUUGCUGCGCUAGGGGAACCCUUGCCACAGCAGCCAUCUGGGCCAUAGCAAUGACAAUACCCAGGUGCUUAACUGACUGAGCCAUCAGGGAACUCCUACAUUCUCUUUUUCAUACUCAAAACAACCUUGUGAGGUAGGUUGUAUUUAUUAUCAGCUCUACUUUUCAGAGGGAAAAACUGAGACUCAGGCAAGGAAGCUUGCCAAGGUCAAAGAGUGAGUCAUUGGCAACGGCCAAAAGGAGCCCAUUCUGCUCAAUGACAUUCUGAGAGUCUAAUGAGCCAGAUCCUAGCCAGGUGCUGGGGAGGAGGCGACCGCAGGGCGAGGCCCCGCCCCUCUCCCAGCCGGGCCUUCCCACCGUGGUUCCUCCCACCGCUGGCGUCAAGGACAGGCUGAGCCCUGGUCGCCACCUGGACCGUGGCUCCCUCUGUGCCGGCCAGGCUCUCCCACCAGGCCCUGGCCUUUCCCAGCUGAGGCAAAUCGUUGUCCCACAGACGUCUCUCCCCCUUGAAAGAUAAAAUGUUUCUGAAGGAUUCCUGGCCGUGUUUCCUUGCGAUAAGCUGGCUGCCGUUUCCUGAACCCACUCUACCCCGGGCAAGUGCAGGAGCCACCUCGGGAGAAAGAGGAUGUGAUGGAGGAAUGUCCCUCAGGCAGAAGAGGAGGGGCGAAGCCGGCCCUUCUUCCUCAGGAACCGAAAGUCUGCUGCGUUUGAAAUUAAGAGCACCCUUGGUGGAUAAAGAAGAUGUGGUACAUAUACACAAUGGAAUAUUACUUAACCAUUAAAAGGAAUGAAAUACCGGCAUUUUUAGCAACCUGGAUGGACCUAGAAAUUAUCAUGCUAAGUGAAGUCAGUCAGACACUAAGACACCAACAUCAAAUGCUUUCACUGACAUGUGGAAUCUGAAAAAAAGGACAGAAUGAACUUUGCAGAAUAGAUACUGACUCACAGACUUUGAAAAACUCAUGGUUUCCAAAGGAGACAGUUCAGGGGUUGAGGGGAUGCGCUGGGGUGUGGGAUGGAAAUCCUAUAAAACUGGAUUGUGAUGAUCACUGUACAACUAUAAAUGUAAUAAAUUCAUUGGGUAAGAGAAAAAAUUAAAAAAA